UACGUAGGGGGCUAGCGUUGUCCGGAAUCAUUGGGCGUAAAGCGCGCGUAGGCGGCCCGAUAAGUCCGUUGUGAAAGUCAAAGGCUCAACCUUUGAAUGCCGAUGGAUACUGUCGGGCUAGAGUCCGGAAGAGGCGAGUGGAAUUCCUGGUGUAGCGGUGGAAUGCGCAGAUAUCAGGAGGAACACCAAUAGCGAAGGCAGCUCGCUGGGACGGUACUGACGCUAAGGCGCGAAAGCGUGGGGAGCGAACAGG
rnacentral:rRNA from 1 species